rnacentral:rRNA from 1 species
AUAUCAAUAAGCGGAGGAAAAGAAACUAACAAGGAUUCCCCUAGUAACUGCGAGUGAAGCGGGAAAAGCUCAAAUUUAAAAUCUGGUGGUCUUUGGCCAUCCGAGUUGUAAUUUAGAGAAGCGUCUUCCGCGCUGGACCAUGCACAAGUCUCCUGGAAUGGAGUGUCAUAGAGGGUGAGAAUCCCGUCUUUGGCAUGGACCCCCAGUGCUUCUGUGAUGCGCUCUCAAAGAGUCGAGUUGUUUGGGAAUGCAGCUCAAAAUGGGUGGUGAACUCCAUCUAAAGCUAAAUAUUGGCGAGAGACCGAUAGCGAACAAGUACCGUGAGGGAAAGAUGAAAAGCACUUUGGAAAGAGAGUGAAACAGUAC